rnacentral:rRNA from 1 species
UACGUAGGGGGCAAGCGUUGUCCGGAUUUACUGGGCGUAAAGAGCGUGUAGGCGGCCACGCAGGUCCGUUGUGAAAACUGGAGGCUCAACUUCCAGCCGUCGACGGAAACCGUGUGGCUAGAGUCCGGAAGAGGAGAGUGGAAUUCCUGGUGUAGCGGUGGAAUGCGCAGAUAUCAGGAGGAACACCGAUAGCGAAGGCAGCUCGCUGGGACGGUACUGACGCUGAGGCGCGAAAGCGUGGGGAGCGAACAGG